rnacentral:rRNA from 1 species
UACAGAGGUCUCAAGCGUUGUUCGGAUUCAUUGGGCGUAAAGGGUGCGUAGGCGGGUUUUUAAGUCAGGGGUGAAAUCCUGGAGCUCAACUCCAGAACUGCCUUUGAUACUGAAGAUCUUGAGUCCGGGAGAGGUGAGUGGAACUGCGAGUGUAGAGGUGAAAUUCGUAGAUAUUCGCAAGAACACCAGUGGCGAAGGCGGCUCACUGGCCCGGUACUGACGCUGAGGCACGAAAGCGUGGGGAGCAAACAGG